UACGAAGGGGGCUAGCGUUGUUCGGAAUUACUGGGCGUAAAGGGCGCGUAGGCGGCUGUUCAAGUCGGGGGUGAAAUCCCGUGGCUCAACCACGGAAUGGCCUUCGAUACUGGACGGCUGGAGACCGGAAGAGGUGAGUGGAACUGCGAGUGUAGAGGUGAAAUUCGUAGAUAUUCGCAAGAACACCAGUGGCGAAGGCGGCUCACUGGUCCGGUUCUGACGCUGAGGCGCGAAAGCGUGGGGAGCAAACAGG
rnacentral:rRNA from 1 species